CUCCAGGGAGAGAAAGUGAGAUCCGAGGACUGGGAAGUGGAAUCGAUUUCAUGCUUAGCACAAUGUGGGUUUAAGCAGAGAAACUUUGUGGUGAGGCUACAGAAUCAGAAGAAACUUUGUCUGGGCAACUGGGAUUGUAUAUUGGAUUUUUGCAAAGAAAUCUGCAGGACACAGAUCAUGGUGUUCUGAUAUUGAAUUGUGGUUGUAGCGUUAAACUGUCAGUGUAGAACAGGAAAGGCUGUUAGAUUGGGGAGGGCAUCUAUCGGUGGGCCCUGACUGGAUGUGAGAAGACCCACACACUUGACCAGAGGCAAUGAAGGCUGGAGUGGAUUCCUGCAUCAGAAGACUCCAUAACCCGGAGAAGUCCCGUCCUGGGUGGCUAUGACGAGGACCUUGCCCAAGGUGAACCAACCCUUCUGCGAUGACACAGGAUGUCUUCAGAUGUUGGACCUUAAGUAUCAGAGUCCAUCACAAUGUACACAUGCCUCAAGGACCGCUACUUCACUCUGCUCAAGAGGUCAUGGUCACAGUUUUUUAAAUGGACUUUACCACCUGAAGCCUCAGACUCAUCCAGCCCAGAACCCCCUGUUCCCACUGACUCACAACCACACAUCACAACACUGUACAUAUAUAAUGUUAUGAAAUGCUUCAUAUCUGGCAUUUGUUGGCAUGUUUUUUGAUAUCAAGUUUUCUCAGAUUUUAUGCACUGCCAUCAGCCUUUUUAGUUUCAUCCAACUAAACUGAAAUUCAACAUUAAGGCUGACUUGUCUCGCUCUGCCAAGAUUAGUUCCAACUAGAGACUCAAAUUGAACCUUUCUGUGUUCAUAAAACCUUUUUGCGCGUCAUGUUGGGAGGCCUCCCAGCAGGGGAUUUCGAUAUUCCCCUGCAAAACCACGCGUUACUCGUAGAAAUGUAGGACAGUUUCAUACAUGGAAUUGUCAUCAUUGAGUAGGUUGCAGGAUUAGAGCGCGUUUCGGUUCUUUAGGAGGAAACAAACCUGGCAGAGAGACAACUCAGAUUAUUUAACUAUAGGUUGCACCAAAUUUAAGAAUUUUAUCUUUUAUGUUACAAAUUUAAAUUAAUUCUGUGGGCUGAAUUGCAGGCGUCAUGAUAUUCAGAAAAGUGACUGUUAAGUACCCUCUUGUGGCAGGAGUGAGCAGCUGCAGCUUUUUUUUAUUUUUUUGUUUCUUGGAUUCACUUAGUCUCUGGAGAUUUGUGGUUAACUUUGAUCAUGUAACCUUGUAAACAUAAGUGAUCUUUUGUCUCUUAUUUGAAAAGCUCGAGGCUGGGUAAAUGAUAGGACGUUAUGGCUUGCCCAAAGUGGGGUUUUUGAUAGGAUAACAUCCUAACACAUUUGAUAGGAUAACAUCCUAACACAUUUGAUAGGAUAACAUCUUAACAUCCUAACACAUUUGAUAGAAUAACAUCCUCACACAUUUGAUAGGAUAGCAUCCUAACAUCCUAACACAUUGGGGAGGGCAACCAUCGGCGGGCCCUGACUGGAUGUGAGAAGACCUGUCACACUUGACCAGAGGUGAUGAAGGCUGGAGUGGAUUCCUGCAUCAGAAGACUCCAUGUUGGACACCACAACCUGAAGUAGUCCCGUCCUGGGUUGCUGUGACAAGGACCUUGAACGAGGUAUUCGACCCUUCAGUAAUGACACCUCUUUGCCACAGGAUGUCUUCAGAUGUUGGACCUUAAGGAUCAGAGUCUAUCAAAUUGUACACAUGCCUCAAUGGCUGUGACGUCACUCUGCUCAACAGGACAUGGUCACAUUUUCUUUUAAAUGAACUUUACCACCUAAAGCCUUAGACUCAUCCAACCCAGAACCCACUGACUCACAACCACACAUCACAGCACUGUACAUGGAUAAUGUUAUGAAAUGGUUUAUAUUUGGCAUUUGUUGACAUGUUUUUGAUAUCUUUUUAAGUCAUAAACAGUUUUUCCACAUUGUAUGCACUACUAUUAGCCUUUAAAGUUUCAUCCAUCACCAACUAAACUGAAAUUCAACAUUAAAGCUGACUUGUCUCACUCUGCCAAGUUUAGUUCCAAAUAAAGACUCAAAUUGAACCUUUCUGUGUUCAUAAAACCUUUUUGCGCGUCAUGUUGGGAGGCCUCCCAGCAGGGGAUUUCUAUAUUCCCCUGCAAAACCGCGCGUUACUCGUAGAAAUGUAGGGAUAUCUUGGACAGUUUCAUACAUGGAAUUGUCCUCAUUGAGUAGGUUGCAGGAUUAGAGCGCGUUUCGGUUCUUUAGGAGGAAACAAACCUGGCAGAGAGACGACUCGGAUUAUUUAACUUGCACCACAGUCACACAUCACAACACUGUACAUUCACAUGAUGCAGCACAACACUAAAAUACAGACACUGCUACUUUCAGCCUGAAAUGAUUAUCAUUGAAUUCCCUAAAAGAAAAGCAUAUUAACUGAAUAUUCCAGUUGAAUACAAAGAAAUUUUGUUUAUUUGAAUACCCUUUUGAAAGGUUUUGUUUUUCUGCUAUGGGAAGCGCUUAGCCUUGUUUUGUAAAGAAUUAUAGUACCAUUAACAACUGACACAAGUUAUGUUAUAAACAAAUGU